CGCUUCCCGACCCGCCGCCACUUCACCUCUUCUCUGCUCCAGACCUAGCCGCCGCCGGCCGCCAGUUUCUCGGCGGCCUGCCGCGUGUAAGCCCAUGUGCACGAUGGCGACGGCAAGAUUGACGGCGGCCCUCACUCGAGGCGCCCUUCCUCCUACGUGCCGCCGCGCUCUGUGCUCCGCCGCGCCGCUGGCCGCGGAGCUGGAGGCGGCGGUGCGCGACGUCGUGUGCUCCGGGUCUGGGAGCCUCGACGAGGUGGGGAGCAGGCUGGACCGGCUGGGCGUGGCCGUCUCGCCGGCCCUGGUCGGGCGCGUGAUCGACUCGUGCGGCGAGAGCGGCGUCAUCGGCUCCGGCAGGAGGCUCCUGCGUUUCCUGCAGUGGUGCCGCUCCAAGGACCCCGGGGCGCUGGGGGACGAGGCGCUCGAUAGGGCGAUUGGGGUGCUCGCACGGGUCGGGGACCUGACUGCGAUGCGAAUCGCCAUCAGUGAUGCUGAGAAGGAUGGCCGGAGGAUGGCUCCGGAGACUUUUACCGCCGUGGUCGAGGCCCUUGUCGAUGCGGGGAAGGAGGAUGAGGCGGUGCGGCUGUUCAGAGGCCUGGAGAGGCAGAGGUUGCUGCCUGAGCGCGGUGCCAGUGCCGGGGGGGAUGGCGUAUGGUCGAGCAGCCUUGCCAUGGUUCAGGCGUUGUGUAGGAGGGGCCACGCCCGCGAGGCGAAGGGUGUGGUGUGGCACCACAAGGGCGAGCUCUCAGUGGAGCCCAUGGUUAGCAUUGUUGAGCGAAGCCUCCUCCAUGGUUGGUGCAUUCAUGGGAACGCUAAGGAAGCUCGGAGAGUCCUGGAUGAUAUGAAGUCUUCAGGCGCCCCACUGGGCUUGCCAUCGUUCAAUGAUUUUCUCCAUUGUGUGUGCCAUAGAAACCUCAAGUUCAAUCCCUCUGCCCUUGUUCCAGAAGCUAUGGAUGUGUUAACAGAGAUGAGGUCCUGCAGUGUUGCCCCAGCUGCUUCUAGCUUCAACAUAUUACUUUCGUGUUUAGGCCGAGCAAGAAGAGUGAAAGAAGCUUAUAGGAUCUUGUACCUGAUGCGAGAAGGAAAGGCAGGGUGCUCCCCUGACUGGGUUAUCUACUAUCUUGUGGUUAGGGUCCUCUAUUUGACUGGGAGAAUCAUUAGAGGGAAAAGGCUUGUAGAUGCUAUGCUUGAAAGUGGGGUGCUUCCAACUGCUAAGUUUUUCCAUGGCCUUAUAGGCGUCCUUUGUGGAACUGAGCAAGUUGACCAUGCUCUUGAUAUGUUCAGACUCAUGAAGAGUUGUGAUUUAGUGGACACUCAUAUAUAUGACCUGCUUAUAGAAAAGCUUUGUAGGAAUGGUAGAUUUGAGCUUGGAAGAGAUCUAUGGGAUGAUGCUACACAGAGUGGUCUUGUGUUAGGAUGCUCAGAGGAUCUGCUGGAUCCCUUGAAGACAGAGGUAUUCAGACCAUCUUGUCCAGCACAAAGAUUAAAUCCUCAGAGCCUCAAAGAAAGAAGAUCACUGCUGUUGGAGCCAAAAAGAACACUGCUGUUGCAGUCUCAAGAAAGAAGUAGGGAGUCUUUGUUUCAAGUGCAUGUUAAACUUCAUGGAUACUUCUCAGGAGCAAGAACAUGAUUUUGGUGUACUGCUGAAGCAGGGGGCAGAAGGGAGGGUAUUUGCUUCAACAUUUGUGGGACGAAAAUGUGUAAUCAAAGAGCGCUUUUCAAAGAAGUACCGGCACCCAUUGUUGGAUGCAAAGUUGACUUUAAAGCGCUUAAAUGCUGAAGCUCGGUGCAUGACAAAAGCAAGAAGGCUUGGUGUUCCUACCCCAGUUCUUUAUGCUGUGGAUCCACUUCUACAUACUUUGACCUUUGAGUAUGUGGAUGGCUUGUCUGUCAAGGAUAUACUUCUUGGGUUUGGUUCAAAUGGGGUUAAUGUGGAACGCCUGAAUGAUAUUGCAACACAGAUAGGACAUGCGAUCGGGAAAUUACAUGAUGGAGGCCUUGUGCAUGGUGAUUUGACUACGUCAAACAUGAUAAUCAAGAGCAGCAACAAUCAACUGGUUCUUAUUGAUUUUGGUCUGAGCUUCACAUCAACAAUUCCUGAGGACAAAGCGGUGGACCUAUAUGUGCUAGAGAGAGCUUUGAUUUCCAUGCAUUCAUCCUGUGGGGAUGUGAUGGAGAAGAUCCUGGCGGCGUACAGGAAGGCCUCGAAGCAGUGGUGCUCCACCCAGAACAAGCUGGCUCAAGUUAGGCAACGGGGCAGGAAGCGCACUAUGGUCGGAUAAAACCUGCGGCCUGGAUAGGAGUAUUCACACUCGUGCAUCACCCCAUUUCGUUGCUGUGUUUGUAAGUGGCUUUGCCUGCCAUCGCAUCUGUACCUGGAAUCAAGUGUUGGGCUCCCUCAUUUGUAUCAGAAGUAGCGUUCGUUGCUCUGGACUGUGCAUGGUUAUGAUGUUUUUUUUCUUAUAAAAUGCAUCAGAGGUCUAUGUGUCACUUUGGUCCAUCAACUUCGAAAUUAUAUUUCUGGGUUCAUAAAUUUGUAAUUUGUGUCACUUAGGUCCACAA